UAAGCUCCUAGAGCAGGCCAUAUCAUUUGAGGUUGAGGGGCCACUAUACUGCCAUGGUUCCAGAUAAUAGGAACUCUUGCCAUACUUCUUGGCAUUUCUACCAUCUGACCAUUUUGUUCAGACCACCUGAACAUAGUGUGGCCAUGGCACAUGGACUGAGAGGUGCAAUUUAAGCUAAACAUCCCCUUAGGGGACCAAUCAAUAAUGAAUCCAUAGGAAUCGUUGUGCAGCACCUCUGCCUGUUCUGCAAUGCAAUCUUCCUAAACAAGUAUGUUCAUUAUUUCUGGCCAGGUUCUAUUUUGUUAACAAAUAGGUUUUUGAGGGUGGUAUGCCUCAAUUAUAGGAGCAGAUUUAUUAUGGUAAAUACUGGGAUCAGAAAGCAUGUGCAACUAUGCCAUACAGUGGUUAUAUCCAGGCAUUAUUGCCAGCCAAGAUUGAUAAAUAUGCCCAAUAAGUAUAAUUGUUCCUGUGUCAGCCCUUGUUGAAGGAAUACUCAUGGCAAUGGUGAUCACCACUAUCAUAGCUACCAUUAAAUUACUCAUUGUGACUGGUUGUCCCGCUUAACUCAGGUUUUCUUCCACCAUCUGUGACAGCUUCUUGAUCUGUCCCUAGGUGGGUGGCUGUGUUCGAUGAGUGUUGCUCGUGACAGUUGAGGUCCUUCUCAGCAUCAGCCUAAACAUGGCUGCAACCGGGGGUUCCUCGGGAUCCUGGGGAUCCUUCUGGAGUCUCUUCCUUGGCAUCUGUUUCAUGAUAAGCUUUCAGGUGUCUUGAUGGUAUCCAAAUUGGCUGUUGCUUUUGGCCUGGAGAAACACAGGCAUAACCUCUACCCCAAGUUAUUAUUUUACCUAUUUCCCAACUUUCUGUUAUUGGAUCUCUCACCAAACCAGCUGUUCUGCCUUUGUCUUUGCAGCUGGUUUCUGUAGAUGCUGUUCAGCUGCUGAUAAUAUCUGGCAUUUGGGCAGGCUCAAAAAAUUUAAAAAACAUGGAAAGGAACAACCGGUACCAGCCACUGCAAAAGCAUGCCAAAUUGUAAAGACCAUUGAGGCUAGGAAGAAACUGACCAUUGAGGCUAGGAAGAAACUGCAUCAACUAAUGAGCAAAAUAACCAGCUAACAUCAUAAUGACAGGAUCAAAUUCACACAUAACAAUAUUAACCCUAAAUGUAAAUGGGCUAAAUGCUCCAAUUAAAAGA
rnacentral:lncRNA from 1 species